GAACUUUUAGUAUAUUGUGUAUUUUUAAUUGCAAAUUAAAAGGUAAAGAGUUUUAU
rnacentral:tRNA from 1 species